CCUACGGGUGGCAGCAGUGGGGAAUAUUGGGCAAUGGGCGAAAGCCUGACCCAGCAACGCCGCGUGAAGGAAGAAGGCUCUCGGUUUGUAAACUUCUUUUGACAGGGAAGAGCAGAAGACGGUACCUGUCGAAUAAGCCAUGGCUAACUACGUGCCAGCAGCUGCGGUAAUACGUAGGGGGCAAGCGUUAUCCGGAGUUACUGGGUGUAACGGGGGCGCAGACGGCAAUGCAAGCCAGGAGUGAAAGCCCGGGGCCCAACCCCGGGACUGCUCUUGGAACUGCAUGGCUGGAGUACAGGAGAGGCAGGCGGAAUGCCUAGUGUAGCGGUGAAAUGCGUAGAUAUUAGGCAGAACACCGGUGGCGAAGGCGGCCUGCUGGACUGUGACUGACGUUGAGGCCCGAAGGCGUGGGGAGCGAACAGGAUUAGAUACCCGUGUAGUC
rnacentral:rRNA from 1 species